AGAAGUUUGAAUUACUGGAACCAAGAACUUAUUCUCUUUCAAGUUAUCUGCCAAGAAGCACUGAGAUCCACAAGAGAAUCCUGAAAGUGUCUGUGAAACUGGCAUAUCUAUCUAACGGGGGCAAUAUAGAACUGCACAUGAAAUGAUUGAACAGCUCUGAAAACAGCCUCAGGCACAUUGUGUUGCAGUCACCUAAUGCUGGUGAAUUGCGUACAGAGGAAGAUAUAAGCACAAAGGUGGUGUGGGUUCACUUGUCAUCAGCCUGAAUCAGACCAUCGGCCAUUCGGCAAAGGGAAGCACCUCUCUUAGAAAUUCUCAUAGCUCUGGUGGAGACUGGUGUUUAGAAGAAGAUGU